rnacentral:rRNA from 1 species
CAGUCGCCACGGUAAUACGUAGGGUGCAAGCGUUAAUCGGAAUUACUGGGCGUAAAGCGUGCGCAGGCGGUUUGUUAAGACAGAUGUGAAAUCCCCGGGCUUAACCUGGGAACUGCAUUUGUGACUGGCAAGCUAGAGUAUGGCAGAGGGGGGUGGAAUUCCGCGUGUAGCAGUGAAAUGCGUAGAUAUGCGGAGGAACACCGAUGGCGAAGGCAGCCCCCUGGGCCAAUACUGACGCUCAUGCACGAAAGCGAGGGGAGCAAACAGGAUUAGAUACCCGUGUAGUCCCUGUCUCUUAUAC